GGUUAAGUGACUAAGCGUACAUGGUGGAUGCCUUGGCAGUCAGAGGCGAUGAAGGACGUACUAACCUGCGAUAAGCCGUGAGCAGUCGGUAAGAGACAUUACGACUCACGGAUUUCCGAAUGGGGAAACCCACUUAGCAUAAGCUAGGUAUCGCUGCGUGAAUACAUAGCGUAGCGAGGCGAACCGGGAGAACUGAAACAUCUAAGUACCCCGAGGAAAAGAAAUCAACCGAGAUUCCCUCAGUAGCGGCGAGCGAACGGGGAUUAGCCCUUAAGCAUCUUGGAAGUUAGUGGAACGGUCCUGGAAAGGCCGGCGAUACAGGGUGAUAGCCCCGUACACGAAAACAACCUUGAUGUGAAAUCGAGUAGGGCGGGACACGUGACAUCCUGUCUGAAUAUGGGGGGACCAUCCUCCAAGGCUAAAUACUCCUGACUGACCGAUAGUGAACCAGUACCGUGAGGGAAAGGCGAAAAGAACCCCUGUGAGGGGAGUGAAAUAGAACCUGAAACCGUGUACGUACAAGCAGUGGGAGCCCUUCGGGGUGACUGCGUACCUUUUGUAUAAUGGGUCAGCGACUUACAUUUUGUAGCGAGGUUAACCGUAUAGGGGAGCCGUAGGGAAACCGAGUCUUAACUGGGCGUCUAGUUGCAAGGUGUAGACCCGAAACCGGGUGAUCUAGCCAUGGGCAGGUUGAAGGUUGAGUAACAUCAACUGGAGGACCGAACCCACUAACGUUGCAAAGUUAGGGGAUGACCUGUGGCUGGGGGUGAAAGGCCAAUCAAACUCGGAGAUAGCUGGUUCUCCCCGAAAGCUAUUUAGGUAGCGCCUCGGACGAAUACUACUGGGGGUAGAGCACUGUUUGGGCUAGGGGGUCAUCCCGACUUACCAACCCCAUGCAAACUCCGAAUACCAGUAAGUAAUAUCCGGGAGACACACGGCGGGUGCUAACGUCCGUCGUGAAGAGGGAAACAACCCAGACCGCCGGCUAAGGUCCCAAAGUUCUGGUUAAGUGGGAAACGAUGUGGGAAGGCUCAGACAGCUAGGAUGUUGGCUUAGAAGCAGCCAUCAUUUAAAGAAAGCGUAAUAGCUCACUAGUCGAGUCGGCCUGCGCGGAAGAUGUAACGGGGCUCAAACCAGGCACCGAAGCCGCGGAUUCACGCUAAGCGUGAGUGGUAGGGGAGCGUUCUGUAAGUCUGCGAAGGUGUAUCGAGAGGUAUGCUGGAGAUAUCAGAAGUGCGAAUGCUGACGUAAGUAACGAUAAAGGGGGUGAAAAGCCUCCUCGCCGGAAGACCAAGGGUUCCUGUCCAACGUUAAUCGGGGCAGGGUGAGUCGACCCCUAAGGCGAGGCCGAAAGGCGUAGUCGAUGGGAAGCAGGUUAAUAUUCCUGCACGACUUGUAAUUGCGAUGGGGGGACGGAGAAGGCUAGGUGGGCCAGGCGACGGUUGUCCUGGUGAAAGUGCGUAGGUGGUGUUUCUAGGCAAAUCCGGAGACACAACACUGAGACACGAGACGAACACACUACGGUGUGGAAGCCAUUGAUGCCCUGCUUCCAGGAAAAGCCUCUAAGCUUCAGAUUACAAGUCAUCGUACCCCAAACCGACACAGGUGGUCGGGUAGAGAAUACCAAGGCGCUUGAGAGAACUCGGGUGAAGGAACUAGGCAAAAUAGAACCGUAACUUCGGGAGAAGGUUCGCUCUUGACAGUGAAGUCCCUUGCGGAUGGAGCAGUUGGGAGUCGCAGUGACCAGAUGGCUGGGACUGUUUAUCAAAAACACAGCACUCUGCAAACACGAAAGUGGACGUAUAGGGUGUGACACCUGCCCGGUGCCGGAAGGUUAAUUGAUGGGGUUAGCGCAAGCGAAGCUCUUGAUCGAAGCCCCGGUAAACGGCGGCCGUAACUAUAACGGUCCUAAGGUAGCGAAAUUCCUUGUCGGGUAAGUUCCGACCUGCACGAAUGGUGUAACCAUGGCCAUGCUGUCUCCACCCGAGACUCAGUGAAAUCGAAUUCGCCGUGAAGAUGCGGUGUACCCGCGGCUAGACGGAAAGACCCCGUGAACCUUUACUACAGCUUGGCACUGAACAUUGAACCUACAUGUGUAGGAUAGGUGGGAGGCUUUGAAGGCGUGACGCCAGUUGCGCUGGAGCCGUCCUUGAAAUACCACCCUUGUAUGUUUGAUGUUCUAACGCAGGCCCGUGAAUCCGGGUCGCGGACAGUGCCUGGUGGGUAGUUUGACUGGGGCGGUCUCCUCCCAAAGAGUAACGGAGGAGCACGAAGGUUGGCUAAUCCUGGUCGGACAUCAGGAGGUUAGUGCAAUGGCAUAAGCCAGCUUAACUGCGAGACGGACAGGUCGAGCAGGUACGAAAGUAGGUCAUAGUGAUCCGGUGGUUCUGAAUGGAAGGGCCAUCGCUCAACGGAUAAAAGGUACUCCGGGGAUAACAGGCUGAUACCGCCCAAGAGUUCAUAUCGACGGCGGUGUUUGGCACCUCGAUGUCGGCUCAUCACAUCCUGGGGCUGAAGUCGGUCCCAAGGGUAUGGCUGUUCGCCAUUUAAAGUGGUACGCGAGCUGGGUUCAGAACGUCGUGAGACAGUUCGGUCCCUAUCUGCCGUGGGCGUUGGAUGAUUGAAGGGAGUUGCUCCUAGUACGAGAGGACCGGAGUGAACGAACCUCUGGUGUUCGGGUUGUCACGCCAGUGGCACUGCCCGGUAGCUAAGUUCGGAAUCGAUAACCGCUGAAAGCAUCUAAGCGGGAAGCGAGCCCUGAGAUGAGUCAUCCCUGACCCCUUGAGGGUCCUAAAGGGCCGUUGGAGACCACAACGUUGAUAGGUGGGGUGUGUAAGCGCGGCGACGUGUUGAGCUAACCCAUACUAAUUACCCGUGAGGCUUAACCAU
rnacentral:rRNA from 2 species